rnacentral:rRNA from 1 species
CAGGCUUAACACAUGCAAGUCGAGGGGCAGCAUGGUCUUAGCUUGCUAAGGCCGAUGGCGACCGGCGCACGGGUGAGUAACACGUAUCCAACCUGCCGUCUACUCUUGGACAGCCUUCUGAAAGGAAGAUUAAUACAAGAUGGCAUCAUGAGUCCGCAUGUUCACAUGAUUAAAGGUAUUCCGGUAGACGAUGGGGAUGCGUUCCAUUAGAUAGUAGGCGGGGUAACGGCCCACCUAGUCUUCGAUGGAUAGGGGUUCUGAGAGGAAGGUCCCCCACAUUGGAACUGAGACACGGUCCAAACUCCUACGGGAGGCAGCAGUGAGGAAUAUUGGUCAAUGGGCGAGAGCCUGAACCAGCCAAGUAGCGUGAAGGAUGACUGCCCUAUGGGUUGUAAACUUCUUUUAUAAAGGAAUAAAGUCGGGUAUGGAUACCCGUUUGCAUGUACUUUAUGAAUAAGGAUCGGCUAACUCCGUGCCAGCAGCCGCGGUAAUACGGAGGAUCCGAGCGUUAUCCGGAUUUAUUGGGUUUAAAGGGAGCGUAGAUGGAUGUUUAAGUCAGUUGUGAAAGUUUGCGGCUCAACCGUAAAAUUGCAGUUGAUACUGGAUAUCUUGAGUGCAGUUGAGGCAGGCGGAAUUCGUGGUGUAGCGGUGAAAUGCUUAGAUAUCACGAAGAACUCCGAUUGCGAAGGCAGCCUGCUAAGCUGCAACUGACAUUGAGGCUCGAAAGUGUGGGUAUCAAACAGGGAUUAGAUACCCUGGUAGUCCACACGGUAAACGAUGAAUACUCGCUGUUUGCGAUAUACUGCAAGCGGCCAAGCGAAAGCGUUAAGUAUUCCACCUGGGGAGUACGCCGGCAACGGUGAAACUCAAAGGAAUUGACGGGGGCCCGCACAAGCGGAGGAACAUGUGGUUUAAUUCGAUGAUACGCGAGGAACCUUACCCGGGCUUAAAUUGCAGAUGAAUUACGGUGAAAGCCGUAAGCCGCAAGGCAUCUGUGAAGGUGCUGCAUGGUUGUCGUCAGCUCGUGCCGUGAGGUGUCGGCUUAAGUGCCAUAACGAGCGCAACCCUUGUUGUCAGUUACUAACAGGUUCCGCUGAGGACUCUGACAAGACUGCCAUCGUAAGAUGUGAGGAAGGUGGGGAUGACGUCAAAUCAGCACGGCCCUUACGUCCGGGGCUACACACGUGUUACAAUGGGGGGUACAGAGGGCCGCUACCACGCGAGUGGAUGCCAAUCCCCAAAACCUCUCUCAGUUCGGACUGGAGUCUGCAACCCGACUCCACGAAGCUGGAUUCGCUAGUAAUCGCGCAUCAGCCACGGCGCGGUGAAUACGUUCCCGGGCCUUGUACACACCG